rnacentral:rRNA from 1 species
AGUGAACGCUGGCGGUAGGCCUAACACAUGCAAGUCGAACGGCAGCACAGUAAGAGCUUGCUCUUACGGGUGGCGAGUGGCGGACGGGUGAGGAAUACAUCGGAAUCUACUUUUUCGUGGGGGAUAACGUAGGGAAACUUACGCUAAUACCGCAUACGACCUACGGGUGAAAGCAGGGGAUCUUCGGACCUUGCGCGAUUGAAUGCGCCGAUGUCGGAUUAGCUAGUUGGCGGGGUAAAGGCCCACCAAGGCGACGAUCCGUAGCUGGUCUGAGAGGAUGAUCAGCCACACUGGAACGGAGACACGGUCAAGACUCCUACGGGAGGCAGCAGUGGGGAAUAUUGGACAAUGGGCGCAAGCCUGAUCCAGCCAUACCGCGUGGGUGAAGAAGGCCUUCGGGUUGUAAAGCCCUUUUGUUGGGAAAGAAAAGCAGCAGGUUAAUACCCCGCUGUUCUGACGGUACCCAAAGAAUAAGCACCGGCUAACUUCGUG